rnacentral:rRNA from 1 species
UGACGGUACCACUUGAAUAAGCUCCGGCUAACUACGUGCCAGCAGCCGCGGUAAUACGUAGGGAGCAAGCGUUAUCCGGAUUUACUGGGUGUAAAGGGCGUGUAGGCGGGACUACAAGUCAGAUGUGAAAGCACGGGGCUCAACUCCGUGUCUGCAUUUGAAACUGCAGUUCUUGAGUGCUGGAGAGGCUAACGGAAUUCCUAGUGUAGCGGUGAAAUGCGUAGAUAUUAGGAGGAACACCAGUGGCGAAGGCGGUUAGCUGGACAGUAACUGACGCUGAGGCGCGAAAGCGUGGGUAGCAAACAGGAUUAGAUACCCUG